ACGGCCAUACCACGUUGAAUAUACCGGUUCUCGUUAGAUCACCGAAGUCAAGCAUCAUUGGGUGGGUGACCACCUGGGAACACCGCGUGCCGUU